AUAAAACUCAUACAACCUUAACUUAAAACACUAAUUUGGAAAUAACCGAAGUGAGCAGUGAGGGAAGAGCGUGGAAAUUUAUAAAAAUGUGACAUUUGGAUAGAGAUGGAGAUAUGGAUAAGGAUGAAUGAGUCAUGAAGUAGGACCCUGGAAUCAAAGUAUCCCAAAGCUUCCGUGGAAAAGUAUUAUACUUACAAUGGUUAGUGUAUUCAAGACCCUCCUUUUUUAUUUUUCUACGUUACACAUGACUCUCUUUACACAUGACUCUCUCUUUCACAUUAUUAAUUCAACAUCUAUUUUCUUUUAAUAGCAUACAAUGAAUUUUUUUAAAAGAAAAUUCAACACCUUACAAUUUUAAUCUCAAUUUUUUUUAUGUUAUUAUUUACUAAAUAUAUCAGCAACAAAUUAAUCUGAAUAAUACAAUUAUCUUCGCCGACAAAAAAAUAUUUCUAAUUUUCAGUUUUAUUUAUAAUUUUAAUGUAUUUUGUUUUAUUUAUAUAAAUAAGAGUAUUAGGAAAUAAUAUUAAUAUUAUAUUGAAAUUAUUUAUGUAACUAAAUUAAAUAAACCAAAUCUCUAUUUGUACAACAUAAAAAACUAUGAAUUUUGACAUAAAUUGUUUUUAUAAAACAUAUAAUUUACUAUAAAAUAAUUCAAUUGAAGCAAUGAAGAUGAAAAAAAAAUCUCAAAAGUUCCAACAACCAAUUAGAUAUUACCAGUCAUAUUUAUUUUUUAAAAGAGAAAUAAAUUCUCAGAUCUUUACUUGCUUUUAAGAGCGUACAAUACAAAUACUUCAUCUGAUUGGUUCAUGUUUUAAAUGUAUGUUCCAUUUUUUGGUUUUCAACUACAGUUGAUUUAAUCCACAUAGUUUUUUUUCUUGUUUGAACAUCUCCAUUGCUUGUGUUCAACCGUUGAAAAAAUCAUUCAACUACCCCAAUGUACAUGGUCUAAGAACAGCAAAUGAAAGGUACUAUAUAAACGAUAGUGGAUGAGAGAAGAAUAGAUGUGUAACGACCCGGUUUUAAAAAAUCAUAAUUAAAAUUUGGUUUGAUUAUUUAUUUAGACUAAACCAAUCUGAAAAAUAAUUUCUCCUUAAUGGUUUAGUAAACCAGACAUGCUUAUAUAUUAAUUAUAAGUAUUUCUUUAUUCUUAAAACCUAAAACGUGAACUGCAGCGCAGCCAUCUUUCAUCACCAUCAUCUUCUUCGUUAGCCACCUCAAGUCAUCUUCACGUUUCUCCCUCCAUUAGUUGGUCCAACGACCAUCAUUGACCGUCAUCUUCUGGGAGUAAGUAGCCAACUCUUUUCUCUGUGUUAUAAAAGCGGAUCUCCAAUCAGAUUUGUAUUCUAAAAGUUAUGUGUGUUUUACCAAGUGAUAUUUCUGCAUAACACAUCUGAGACCAGUAUUGGGGAAAGUCAGGAACGGAUUAUCAAAGCAUAGAAUUUUGACGUCAAAUUUUCAUGAGGGAAUCCACGAACAGUCAACUUCAUAAGCGUUUUCCUGUUUAUCCCGACUCACUUAGAAAACGAGCGAGAUACCUUUGGAAAGGUCUCGUUGUCAGCCUUCCAGAUCAUUCUUUAGAUCGACAAACUGAGGUACAGUUAGGAAGUUAUGGCCAUUUUAAUUUCGGGUAUCAACUCUGGUCAAAUCCGAAAAUCAUAAACCUAGUCUUCUAAUUUGGAAACCCUAAAUCUAUUGUUUUAGGAAAGUUUCUUAUGGACCUAAGCCAUUAAUUCUCGUGUCGUAGUUGACCGUAUCCUCCGUUGUCCAUUUCAUCCAGUGGCUAAGGUGAGGGUUAUUCCGUUUAAUCCAGUGCUAGUUUAGUACUACCAUUAUGGAAAGUUUAGUUUCGAAACAUGUUCCGUCUCUAUGAAUCGAGUAUAACUGGAGUCUUGUUUGUUUUUAUUUUAUUCUUUGUCUAAACCGGAGAUAGGAAAUUAGAUGAUUCAACUGUUGAUUGAUUUGAUUGAUGUUAAAAGACGGUUAUAUAUAAGUAUACAUAUAGUAUGGAUUGGUUAGCCGGAUAAAGGGAAGUACUUCUGUAUCGGCCUAUUUGUGUGGAGAUUACGGGGUGUAUAGGGAAGCACUUUUGUACCACGUAUGAGCUGCGGGAGUACAAGGAAGCACUUCUGUACUACGUGGCAAUUGUUUUUGUUGAGAUUGCGGGGCGUAUAGGGAAGCACUUCUGUACACGCAUGAGCUGCGGGAGUAUGGGGAAGCACUUCUAUACUACGUAGCAUUGUGUAUGAGGAGAAUGUGGGAGUAUAUGGAAGCACUUCUGUACUACACAUACUUUUGGUAUACAUAAAAAUUUAUAUAUCUAUAUCCGUAAGAGGAGAAUGUAGGGUGCAACGAAGAGCUAUGUACUAUAAGUGCAUUGGUUGUUCUGUGUGGUGCAUUAGGUGUCGUGUUUGUUUUAUGCUAGAGCUAGGCCUACAUAGUCGUAGUGCUAUGUACUGAGUCAGUGGUUUGCGGUUUAGCAUCCCAUACCUCACUGAUUGACUCCCCUGUUGCUCACCCCUCUUUUCUCCUCCUUCCAGGUGAGACUGUCGAGCAUGAGUGAUUGCUAUCGGAUUGGUGCUUUUGGGUGUUUACUUCUUUCCAUUUCAGACUUGCGGGUUUUAUGGUUUUAUCGUAUUUUCUGGAUUUAUUUCAUUAUUUGGAUUUUUGACUAUUUGUCAGAUUUACGAUAUGUGCAGACGAUUUAUGAGGACUACUAAAUAGAGAUUUCACGAUUAUUAUUUAUUAUUUUAUUUUGGAGAGUACGGGUAUUACAAGAUGAUGGAAUGAUCAUGCUAUAGAAGCCCACAAAGAUAAUCACAAACGUAGAAACAGAGUCCGGAUGAUCAGAGACGUACAAAAACGUGAGUCGCUUGGCGAAUCAAAUCCCUGACACAUGAAAUAUUUAUAACAAAACAAUAAAAAAUAAAAAUAAUUGAAAUUUUCUUUGCAUCUCUUAUUUUUCAGCCGUCUAAAUAUUAAAUACUCAUUUUCUAAUUUUUCUCAUAAAAUUUUAAGCUACGGUGAUUUAUAUAUUUUAUCCAAUUUUUUUUUCAUUUCCUAUAUAAAUUAAUCUACUAUUUUCUCAAUUAUUUUAAAACCAGAUAAUACUUUAACAUUUUAAAUCUUAUACUAGGUGAUAACCCGCACCCUGCGCGGAGCGAGUAGAUUUAAAAAUAUUAUAACUUAUAAUUUGUAGACAUAAUAAAGGUUAAAGUCAUAGUAAGAAAAAUAUAUGUAAGAAAGCACGGGUUAUAACUAAGAAUUUUAGUAUGUCAAUAUAAAUUUAUAUGCGAUUGAAUUUAAAAUUAAAUUGUAUAUUUGUUUGCAUAAAGAUAAAUUAUAAAUAUAAGAUUAAAUGAAACAUAAACAAUAGUUUAAUAAAAUAUAAAAGGAAGAAUGUAUUAGAAAACAAAAGAAAAUGAAAAAUAAAGACAAAAUAACUGCUGUCAAUAAUGUCUUCAGAAGUCUUCGUUUGCAAUCUUAUUAUGAGCGAUAAAAAAGGAAUCAUCUUGCGAAAUUAAACAUAUUAUUUAAAAAAAAUCUGUGAAUGCAUGUAUUACCUCAAUCGUAAAGCAUCGAUUUCUGGAACACCAGUGGGGUCAAAGAUAAUUUUGGAAAACCCAUCAAUGUAGUAACCUUCUUAAGUCGGCCUUAUUAUGAAAGAUGAAACAAUAUUAAUACAUGCAUUCACAGAUUAAUACUGGAUGAAAUUAAUACUGUAUAUACUACUUACCUUGUUGUACAAAAUUGCGAAAUGUUUGGACGUCAAAUAGGUAACAAAAUGAAGUUUUGGUCACACAAAUUUAAUUUCACAAAUAUUUUCCUGUCGAUUAAGGUAAGUGUAAAUCAAAGAUGGAAAAUAAUGUAUUCGUAAUAACUUUGAAAUAGUAUAAUUUGAUUCAAAUAACAACUAUGCAAUAUCCGUUAAAUCUGUGAUAUAGAAAUUAUUUCUUUUCAAGUUAAUUGUGUUUUCUUUAAUACCCUAACAUGAUCGAACUUUUUUUUGUAUAAUAUAUUCGAUCCAGUGAUCAAGUCAAUUGUGUUUCCUUUAAAAUUGGAAGCAUUAAUUUUGGGAAUAAUCGAAUUGGUAAUUAUCAUAAUUAUGUUGCCUUGAAUCUAAAAGAUCAUAAAACGAUUUGGCAUAUUAUAUACUGACAAAAUCAAAUCUAAGAAAUGGUCAUGGUACUUUCAUAUGGUCAUGGCAUAUUACCUCUUCGUACCACAAUUAGUUUUUCAAAACAUUAUGAUAAACAUGGUUAACUAGUUGCUAUUAUUAGCUUUUCAAAAUAUUAUGAUAAACAUGGUUAACUUGAUGCAGGAUGAGAUAUGAAAUGCAAUCCUGGUCAUGUUAAUUUCUUACAAUCGGCGUAUCAAGCUUAAAGAACCAAUUCAAAAUGCAAAGAACAUAAUAUAAAGAAGUUUAAUAGAUUAAAGAACCAAUCGUUUACUCAAACUUAAAGAAUUAUCACCACACGUAUUCUUGGAUAUAUUCUCAAGGUUCUUCACCGAGGAACAUAAUUAUAACAAUAAAGACUCUCUUUGAAUGGUAAUAAAAUGUUUCCUUAUUUAAAGAUCCGAUUUUUUUAAAGAUCCGAAAGUAACGUUGUGAAGAUAAUUAUGCUUGAGAAUCUUAUACUAUAAUGUAAUGACCAGUGGUAUUUUUUUGUAAUUAGUCUAGUUGAGUAAAGACUUUUAAAAUAAUGAGGUGAUAGAGUUUGUGGUGAUGACACCUAGAAAAUGGUACACAUGUAAUAAACACAUGAAGCCAAAAUUAUUUUUUACUAAUGCUCCUCGAAUAAUAAAAAAAGAUACUCAUUUGUCUUCAUCAACAACUACUUAUAUUUAAAGAUGAGAUUUCUCAAAUUGUUAUCGAAAAAGUGAUUUUUCUUAAAUUGUAGUCAGAGGUGAGUUUUUGUCUCUAAACUGAUCUUACAUAUAAACUGUUAUCUUUAAUACUAUAAAAAAUAAUUGGAUUGGCAAUUAUGUAAAUGAUACUCCCUCCGUUUCUUAUUGUAAGUAGUUUAAAGAAAAUUCUUUUGUUUCAAAAUGUAAAUAGUUUCCAAAUAUCUAGAUAACUUUUACAUUUAUUGGAUAUAGUGUAACCAAUCAAAUGAUAUUAAUCUUUUUAUAAUUGGUUAAACUAAUUAAUUAAAUAUUAUUUUUUAAAGUACCAAGUUUCUUAUUAUUAGUGUUUUUAGUCUAAACUACUUACAUUUAAUAUUAGUGUUUUUAUUCUAAACUACUUACAUUGUGAAACGGAGGGAGUAUGUGUCAUUCACUAUUUUAAAAUAAAAUUAAUUAUUUUUUGUUAAAAUCUAAUAAAAAACUAUUUUCUUUAGAUUUUUGAGGAGAAUCAUUUCCACUACGUCUAUAUAACCUCUCGCUAACUCCGACUUCUUUUGCUUCUAUAAUGGUAAGAAAUCAUUUAGGGAAAAAAGCUCUGGAUAAAAAUGCCAACAAAGAGGUGCAGACUUCUCAAGGUUUAAUGACAAUCAAAUGUCUAACAUUCCUUUCAUGUAAUAAUUUUCUGCCAGUGGUUCUCAAUCAUCCUUCGAAUGUGUUAUUUGGUCAACGUUUAAGAUUUUUAUCGUGUAAGAAUCAUCCUACAACCGGAAGGUCUGAAAGAUUUUAGGUUGCAAAUUUUAAGUAGGAUUCACUCCAGAUCCCUAUCAAAUAUGGAACGAACCUAUCAGCCUAUAAAGCACAUGUUUCGUCUGGUAUUUUUACAUAUUUCCAACCAUAAUAAAAUCAGUAAAUUUUUAUUAUAUUUAGUUUUCUACAUAAAUUUACAGUUAGAAGUUGACUGAGACGAAAACGAACAAUAGUAAAAUGAAGAAAUGAGCUGUUUUUUUUUUUUUUUUUGUGUGUAAGAAACGAACUGUUUUUCUCAAGGCGCUUGAAUCUUUUACAUGUUAGAAGUGAAAAACCACUUAACAAAAAAGCUAGCUCCACUUAUAAGGUUUUGGGGUACAUCUAAACCUACCCCUAAACCGGCAGAGGAUAUCAAAACUACAUUGAAAAAAAUUAUCGUUAUGUGGAUUGAGACAGUCUGAAGCUCUCAGCACUUG